UGGGGAAUAUUGGACAAUGGGCGAAAGCCUGAUCCAGCAACGCCGCGUGCGGGACGAAGGCCUUCGGGUCGUAAACCGCUGUCAGAUGGGACGAAGGAAUCGUGGUUAAUAUCUGCGGUUCUUGACGGUACCUUCAGAGGAAGCCCCGGCUAACUCCGUGCCAGCAGCCGCGGUAAUACGGAGGGGGCGAGCGUUAUUCGGAAUCAUUGGGCGUAAAGGGCGCGUAGGCGGCUCGAUAAGUUCAAGGUGAAAGCCCUCGGCUCAACCGAGGAACUGCCUUGGAUACUGUCGAGCUUGAGUCCGGAAGAGGGUGGUGGAAUUCCCGGUGUAGCGGUGAAAUGCGUAGAUAUCGGGAGGAACAUCGGUGGCGAAGGCGGCCACCUGGGCCGGUA
rnacentral:rRNA from 1 species